rnacentral:rRNA from 1 species
UACGUAGGGGGCGAGCGUUGUCCGGAAUUAUUGGGCGUAAAGAGCGUGUAGGCGGUUCGGUAAGUCUGCCGUGAAAACCUGGGGCUCAACCCCGGGCGUGCGGUGGAUACUGCCGGGCUAGAGGGUGGUAGAGGCGAGUGGAAUUCCUGGUGUAGCGGUGAAAUGCGCAGAUAUCAGGAGGAACACCAGUGGCGAAGGCGACUUCCUGGCCUGUUCUUGACGCUGAGGCGCGAAAGCUAGGGGAGCAAACGGG